GCUGAGAGCCAUUGCAUUUGCAAAACCCUUCUACCUAGACAGCCACUGGGCGUCAGUCUGGGCGAAAAUCAGACGCAUUUACUGCUCCAAUCUCCUGGCUUCGUCGGACCGUCACCCGCCUCCACCAGUCUGACCAUGGCGCGACCGCUUCAUUCUUCAAAUUUCAAACCCUAACCCAAAGAUUUACUUUGGGAUUCACCAAAAAUUCAAAAUAGGGGCAGCGUUAUUAGGCAACUGUAUUUUGGAUGGGAGGAGUUAUUCUUAAGUACCUUUUGGCAGCCUCAACCACUAGCGGCACAGCAAUUGGCCCACUCUCUGCAAUUAUAUUCACAUUCUUUCCUAUCGCUCCCUCCUUGAACACCUACAGCAAGACUGAACUAAUCAUCAUUAUCAAAUAAUUUCAGUGAUUAAUAUUGGCACAUUACCAAAACAAGAAUUGUUAAGAAAAGUUAUGAUGGCAGUUAUUGCUAUACAUAAGUCGAUGGCGCCGUUAAUGACUGGUGGAGGCAAUGGCAGUGCUAGGGUAGUGCAAGCUGCAUGUCGUAUUGGCGAAGCCAUUGAGCAAGAGGCCAGAAUACUCAGGUUUAUAGAGAAGACCAAGAGGAAGAAUGCAGUAAAUAAAAGUUCUGAACAACCUGAUCCUGCAGUGAAGGAACAGGAGAGACUAAGAAAGAAGGUCAAUAUUUUCAUGAAGAAACAGGAAUUGCACCAAGUUAGGAAAAUAGUGAAACAACAAGAUGAUUUCAAGCCCUGGGGCCACGAUGCUCAAGUAAAGAACGAGCUAGGAGUGAAGCAUUUGCGGGUUUCGCAGUUUGUUAUUGCCCAUAUUUUGGCACGGAACCAGCGUCCCUGUGCGUUGCAGAGUCAUCUGCACCAAGUGCUUCUAGAAGACGGCUCUGGAUCUGCACCUUCACUCUGUGAGCUGCUUUGUAAUGCCUUCAGGGGCUGGGAUUCGAAUCAUAUGGUGUGGGAUAUGUUGGCUUUUGUUUAUUCUAGAUCCAACAUGGUACAUGAUGCCCUUUUUGUCCUUGCCAAGAUGAAGGAUUUGGAUAUCCAGCCUUCAAUUAUGACAUACAAUAGUUUAUUGCACAACUUGAAGAAUACUGAUAUCAUGUGGGAUGUAUACACUGAAAUUAAAGCCUGUGGGAUUCGUCCAAGUGAAUACACAAAUGCGAUUAUCCUAGAUGGUCUAUGCAGACAGUCCUUGAUACAUGAAGCAGUUUUAUUUCUGCAGGAGACUAAAGAAAAAGAGCCCCAGCCUUCUGUUGUUUUGUUUAAUACUUUGAUUUCCGGAUUCUGUAAGAUGGGUUUUGUAGAUAUUGCAAAAUCAUUCUUUUGUAUGAUGUUUAAGUAUGGAUUAUUUCCUGACGUUUAUAGUUACAAUAUUCUCAUUCAUGGACUAUGUAUGGUGGGUUCAAUAGAAGAAGCAUUAGACUUUACAAAUGACAUGGAGAAACAUGGAUUGGGGCCUGAUCAAGUAACUUUCAACAUUAUAGCCAAAGGGUUUCGUCUACUUGGUAUGAUGGAUGAUGCCGGGAAGGUUACUAAUGGGAUGCUACGUAGAGGAUUAAACAUUGAUCUUAUCACAUAUACAAUACUCAUUUGUAGGCAUUGGCACACGGGCAAUGUUGAAGAAGGUUUUAGGUUGCGAGAGGAGAUGCUUUCUAGGGGGCUUCAGCUUAGUAGUAUCUCAUAUAGUGUGUUGCUUAGCAGUUUGUGCAAGAAUGGACGUAUGGAUGAAGCUCUGAGAUUUCUUAGUGAGAUGGAAAAUGCUAGUUUAAUACCAGAUCACGUGAUGUAUUCUAUCAUCAUUAAUGGUCUUUGCAAGAUGGGAGAAGUACAAAAGGCUGUCCAGCUUUAUAAGGAGAUGUGUCCGAAGAAAAUCACCACAGAUUAUGUUCAAAAUCGAUCUACUCUAUCAAGACUAUGCGAGAAAGGGGGAGUAUUAGAGGCAAGAAGUUAUUUUGAUAAAGUGGCAAAUAGUAACUUGGUGGAGGAUAUUGUCUUGUACAACAUUAUGAUUAAUAAAUAUGCCAAACUUGGUAAUAUUGGAGAGGCAAUACGGUUAUAUAAAAUUGCAAUGUUGAAAGGUAUUAGUCCUACUAUAGUCACAUUCAAUUCCCUAAUAUAUGGGUUCUGCAAAACCGGGAAACUUGCUGAUGCUAGGAACUGGUUAAAUAACAUCAAGAUGCAGGGUUUGACGCCUACUGUUGUUACUUAUACUACCCUCAUGAAUGCAUUUUGUGAAGAGGGAAAUUUAGAUGCCACAUUUGAGUUGUUUGAGGAAAUGGAAGCAAGUUCUGUGCAUGCAAAUCGAGUAACUUACACUGUGGUUAUGAAAGGGCUAUGCAGGCAAGGGAAGCUGAAAGAAUCUAUCCAGGUUCUCAAGAAAAUGAUAGCUAUGGGUAUGUCUCCAGAUCAAACUUCUUAUAAUGCUCUCAUUCAGUGUUUUUGUAAAGCUCGGUACCUAGAAAGAGCAUUUGAAUUACAUAACAAGAUGUUACAACAUAAUCUUCAGCCUAAUUAUAUAACAUAUAACAUUCUCAUUAAUGGUUUAUGUGUUUAUGGAGACCUAAAGGAUGCUGAUGAACUCUUUUCUUCUCUCAAAGACCAAAAUGUCAGAUUGUCAAAAGUUGCCUAUAGUACUUUAAUAAAAGCACAUUGUGCGAAGGGUGAUGUUCGGAAGGCAAUGGUUCUCUUCAAUCAAAUGAACGACUUGGGGUUUGAAAUUUCUAUCAAAGAUUACAGCGCUGUGAUCAAUAGACUUUGCAAAAGAGAUUUAGUAGAUGAUGCAAAGCUUUUUCUUCGAGUGAUGUUAGUUGAUGGCAUUUCCCUAGACCGACAAAUUUGUUCGGUUAUGCUUCGUUCAUUAGACCAAAUUGGUGAUUUUAGUUCCAAAUUUCAAUUGUACGCAUUGAUGAUCAAAUGUGGCUUUUAUCCAGGUUGAAACCAUUGGAGUGAUAUUUUGUGAUUCUUAUUAUUGGUGGCUCUCAGUGUUGGUCUUAAUGCAGCGGAGAAUGUCUAACACUCAAGGCAAUGUUAUCGUUAAUUGUUCACACUACAGGCACAAACACCCUCGAGAGAGAUGAGGGAAGGGAAAAUGUCAGUGGGUACGCCGUUCUCCUCCACAGCCACCGACCAAUUAAAACAAAUUAAUGGUUAGUCAAUUGUUGGACUCAAUAGUUCAGAGUUCAUACAGCCACAAGGAGUUUUUCUUAGUGAGCUUGUGAGUAAUGCAAGUGAUGCUCUUGAUAAAUUGAGGUUUUUGAGUGUGACUGAGCCCGCCUUACUUGGAGGUGCUGGGAUACUGGUAUUGGAAUGACAAAAGAUGAGCUUAUAGACUGCCUUGGAACUAUUGCUCAGAGUGGCACUUCUAAAUUCUUAAAGGCUUUGAAGGGAAACAAGGACCUUGGGGGGAAGAUAAUGGCCUCAUUGGUUAAUUUGGUGUUGGAUAUUAUUCUUCAUUUUUGGUUGCUGAAAAGUGCAAAAAAAAGGUCCCAGAUCAGAUAAGCAAUAUGUUUGGGAAGCAAUGGCUGAUACCAGCUCCUACAUUAUUAGGGAGGAAACUGCUCCUGAAUAUUUACCACAUGUAGGAACACAAAUCACACUCUAUUCGAGUGUAUCUAUCCUUGUUUUUAAUCCAAAACUUGUUCCUUAAAUAUACAUCAUAUCUACACUUCCAUGUUGCAAACAUAGAGAUGUGUUCAUAGUUUCGAGUUAUGAAGUGGAAAUUGGGCAGAAACUCUAGUCAUACUCUGGCAGCUGCUCUAUGAAGCUUCAGGAUAAACUUUUUGGAUUGUAUUGUCAAGAAAAGUCAUUAUGAGGUUUCUUCCUUUGAAUUUGCCAAUGGUGCUAUCUUUUAAUAGAAUCAA